CGCGUCUCUGGCGGAAGUCCCGCCCCUUAAGGCUUCGCAUCCAGAUCCGUCCCGCAGAGAGCCGAGACUUACGGGCUCGGAGGCACCGAGGCCGCCCCACCAUCUCCCUGGCCCCCGCCACGGGGAUUUAAAAGCAAACCCUCUAGUCACAGACAGACCUUUAUCCCUUCGUUUCUCACUUCGGAGCUCUUGCUGGUCACGGAAGUCCCAACGGUCCAAGAUACAUCGCCUCUGAGACCCACCGGCCUGAGAAAUACAAAGUUGGCUUCGGAGCAAGGACUUCUGGAAUUGCCACCCCAAUCAAGGCCGAGGCUGGAUCUCCCACCCGGGGAGAAUGGCAGCAGCUGGCCUUGGACCCCCAGAAUGGCUCGUGCGAGGAGAGCACGGAGGACUACGGGAGCACGGCCAUGUUGGGCCUGGAGAACCAAGCUGCCUGGAACCCCGACCUGAUCCCAAAGCCUGCACAGGCCUGGGUACAAGGCGUGCCCCCGGGGACAGACCCUGACAGGGAAGAGAAACCACCUAAAGAUGCUGUACUGCCACUGCCACAGACCCAGGGUUCUCCAGGAGAGCCAGGGGCCACGGCAACCUUACAUGUCCCUUGGGCGCCCAAGGAGGAACGGCUUUGGAGAAGUGGAGAGCCGGGGCACACGACCACCUUGCACACCCUCUGCGGGGCCAAGGAGGAAGAACUUUGGAGACGUGGAGAGCCAGGAUGCACGGCCACCGCCCACACCUUCUGCGGGGCCAACGUGGAAGGACUAAGGAGAAGUGGAGAGCCAGGCCCCACGGCCACCUCGCAGGUUUCUGUGAGGUCAAGAAGGAAGAGCUUUGGAGAAGUGGAGAGCCAGGGUGCACAACCACCUUGCAGGUCCCCUGGGGGGCCAAGGAGGAGGGGCUUUGGAGAAGUGACGACUUUGGGGAGGUUGCCACUGCCCCUGCCCUUGCUGGAGACAGCAGAACCUGCUGAUGGCUUUGGGGAGGUUGCCACCGCCCCUGCCCUCACUCAGUAUCAACUGUGCCACUUUUGUUAAGUGGUCCCCGCUGGAGAACAAGUUUGCUGUGGGGAGUGGAGCUCGGCUCAUCUCCUCAGUCUGCUACUUUGAGUCUGAAAACGACUGGUGAGCCAUGCUAAUCUCCCUUCCCUUUCUUCCUCCCUCCGCUUCCUCCUUCAUCCCUUCAUCUCCAUCCUUCCUUUUCCAGCCCCCGACUUUUCUUAAUUCAGGUAGGAUGCGUUUCCUCCUGACUGCCUUGGAGCAGUUGAUUGUAGGUGUUCCCUGAGAGGUCAUAGGUAGGCUGGACCUUACUGUGGUCACAGAUGUAGUCCCUGAAUGUGAGCUGUACGUCAGCCACUUAGGCCAGUGUGGUGCACAGGCCUGUAAUUCUAGCUUGACUUUGAGACCAGUGUGGGGUUCACAGCAAGUCGGAGGCCAGUCUGAACUCUGUGUAGGAAGCUCUUCCCUGACAGAGAGCAAGCCAGCCUUCAGCAGGAGCAGCUGUGCACUAUAGGGAGCUCAUGAAAAUACUCAAGCCAGGGGGCCGGAGAGAUGGCUCAGAGGUUAAGAACACUCACUGUUCUUCCAAAGGUCCCGAGUUCAAUUCCCAGCAACCACAUGGUGGCUCACACAGAUCUAUAGUGAGAUCUGUGUGCAAGCUGAAUGCUGUAUAGAUAAUAAAUAAAUAAAUCUUUAAAAAAAAUACUCA
rnacentral:lncRNA from 1 species